rnacentral:lncRNA from 1 species
UAGUUCUAAAAAAUCUUUGGGUACCCCUUUACUAAUGACCCCUAUAUUUUACUCUAUGACGACAAGACAUUUCUUGUAUAUAUGUAUGUUUCCUAGGUUACGCUCCACGUUUAGUUCAACAGCGUCUUGCAGCGCUCUCUUCCGUCCGCGCAAAACCACUUUUACAUAUUGACGAGGUGCUACGGUAAACGCUCUCAAACGUCUUAGCGUUGGAACCGUCGUCUUGUUUUUUGUUUUUCCCGCUAGAUCGAACUACUGUGAAUCUGAAUUACAAUGCGUUGUUGGUGAUCAAAGAAAAUUUGUGAAUUUGAAGUGUAAUAUUUUCUUUUUCCCGUUCCCACAGUCUUACAAGCGCUAACAAUCAAUUACGAAUAAACAAAAACGAAUAAAUUGACGAGGUGCUACGGUGAACGCUCUCCAACGUCUUAACGUUGGAACCGUCGUCUUUUUUUUGUUCCGUAGGCAGGAAAAAACUUCCCCCAUGACACGCCUGAACGCUACUUGAGGCGGCUUGAAUCGUCUCGCGUACCGAAGGAAAAUUUGCCGAGAUUACCAGUUUGGAGCGAAUCUGAGGAUGAGGGCGGGGUUCCUUAUCCACGAAGUGAUCCACCCGCUGAGUUUGACGCCAGGACAAAGUGGAGCAAGUGCGCCAGUAUUUCUCAUAUUUACGACAAAGGCAACUGCGGGAGCUGUUGGGCAGUAUCCACAGCGUCCGUGAUAACGGAUAGAAUUUGCAUUGCCACUAACGGUUUCUUCAAGGACACUAUUUCAGCGUGAGACAUUGCAUCUUGCUGCGUGGAGAACGAAUGCGGAGGUGGCUGUCAUGGAGGCUGGCCCAAAAAAGCUUUCCAACACUACGUAAAAUUUGGUUUAGUUACAGGAGGAGAAUUUGGCACAAAUCAGGGGUGCAUGCCAUACGAGAUAAAGGGUUGCUUUCACCACAUGGGUAAAGCUGGAAAACAUCCGGAUUGUCACAGUUACAACGAAACAGUGGUUCCGAAAUGUGUGACGGAGUGCCCUAAUAAAAGCUAUAAGAUUGCGUUUGCCAAGGACAAACAGUUCGGGAAACGCGCGCUUACACAGUAA